AAUACCCUGCUAUGUGCGUGGUUGCUUUGAAGUUUUGAUCCAACAAGAUCAAAAGGGAGUCCGGCUCUGAGUGCGGCUUGUACGCCUGUUAUUUUGGACACAAAAAGCAGUCAGGAGGACACCCACCUAGUUAGACUGGGUUCAGAAAACUUGGGUAAUCACGGCAUUGGUGGGGUUUCU
rnacentral:other from 2 species